rnacentral:tRNA from 1 species
GCUUCCAUAGUGUAGUGGUUAGCACUUCGGACUCUGAAUCCGGCAACACGAGUUCAAAUCUCGUUGGAAGCA